rnacentral:rRNA from 1 species
AGUGACAAACGGUGUGAUUCCGUCAGGAGAGCGGCUUACGUGGUAUUAGCUAGUUGGUGAGGUAAUGGCCCACAAGGCUACGAUCGCUAGGGGGUGUUAGCGCAUGGCCCCCAGACUGGGACUGAGAUACUGCCCAGACACCUACGGGUGGCUGCAGUCGAGAAUCUUCCGGCAAUGGGCGCAAGCCUGACCGAGCGACGCCGCGUGCCGGGAUGAAGGCCCUUGAGUUGUAAACCGCUGUCAGAGGGGAUGAAAUGCGGGUGGGUUCUCCCAUCCGUUUGACAUAGCCUCAGAGGAAGCACGGGCUAAGUUCGUG